rnacentral:rRNA from 1 species
CCUACGGGUGACUGCAGUGAGGAAUAUUGGUCAAUGGGCGGGAGCCUGAACCAGCCAAGCCGCGUGCGGGAAGAAGGUACUGCGUAUUGUAAACCUCUUUUGUCAGGGAACAAAGGCGGGCACUAGUCCCCGGUUGCGGGUACCUGAAGAAAAAGCAUCGGCUAACUCCGUGCCAGCAGCCGCGGUAAUACGGAGGAUGCGGGCGUUAUCCGGUUUUAUUGGGUUUAAAGGGUGCGCAGGCGGCCUGUUAAGUCAGCGGUAAAAGCCCGGGGCUAAACCCCGGCGAGCCGUUGAAACUGGCGGGCUGGAGUGGGCGAGAAGUACGCGGAAUGCGCGGUGUAGCGGUGAAAUGCUUAGAUAUCGCGCAGAACCCCGAUUGCGAAGGCAGCGUACCGGCGCCACACUGACGCUGAGGCACGAAAGCGUGGGUAUCGAACAGGAUUAGAUACCCGUGUAGUG